GUGGGGAAUAUUGCACAAUGGGCGAAAGCCUGAUGCAGCAACGCCGCGUGAGGGACGACGGCCUUCGGGUUGUAAACCUCUUUUAGUAGGGAAGAAGCGAAAGUGACGGUACCUGCAGAAAAAGCACCGGCUAACUACGUGCCAGCAGCCGCGGUAAUACGUAGGGUGCAAGCGUUAUCCGGAAUUAUUGGGCGUAAAGAGCUCGUAGGCGGUCUGUCGCGUCUGCUGUGAAAACUGGAGGCUCAACCUCCAGCCUGCAGUGGGUACGGGCAGACUAGAGGGCGGUAGGGGAGAUUGGAAUUCCUGGUGUAGCGGUGGAAUGCGCAGAUAUCAGGAGGAACACCGAUGGCGAAGGCAGAUCUCUGGGCCGUAACUGACGCUGAGGAGCGAAAGCGUGGGGAGCGAACAGGAUUAGAAACCCCUGUAGUCC
rnacentral:rRNA from 1 species